UACGUAGGGGGCAAGCGUUGUCCGGAAUCAUUGGGCGUAAAGCGCGUGUAGGCGGGUCGGGAAGUCCGCUCUGAAAGCCCGGGGCUCAACCCCGGGAGGCGGGUGGAUACUGUCGACCUCGAGUCCGGAAGAGGCGAGUGGAAUUCCUGGUGUAGCGGUGAAAUGCGCAGAUAUCAGGAGGAACACCAAUGGCGAAGGCAGCUCGCUGGGACGGUACUGACGCUGAGGCGCGAAAGCCAAGGGAGCAAACGGG
rnacentral:rRNA from 1 species